UACGUAGGGGGCAAGCGUUAUCCGGAAUUACUGGGUGUAAAGGGAGCGUAGACGGUAAUGUAAGUCUGGAGUGAAAGGCGGGGGCCCAACCCCCGGACUGCUCUGGAAACUAUGUUACUAGAGUGCAGGAGAGGUAAGCGGAAUUCCUAGUGUAGCGGUGAAAUGCGUAGAUAUUAGGAGGAGCGCCAGUGGCGAAGGCGGCUUACUGGACUGUAACUGACGUUGAGGCUCGAAAGCGUGGGGAGCAAACAGG
rnacentral:rRNA from 1 species